UGGGGAAUUUUGCACAAUGGGGGAAACCCUGAUGCAGCGACGCCGCGUGAUUUAGAAGGCCUUCGGGUUGUAAAAAUCUUUUGUAUAGGAAGAAAAUGACAGUACUAUACGAAUAAGGACCGGCUAAUUACGUGCCAGCAGCCGCGGUAAUACGUAAGGUCCGAGCGUUGUCCGGAAUCAUUGGGCGUAAAGGGUACGUAGGCGGGUAAGCAAGUUAGAAGUGAAAUCCUAUAGCUCAACUAUAGUAAGCUUUUAAAACUGCUCAUCUUGAGGUAUGGAAGGGAAAGUGGAAUUCCUAGUGUAGCGGUGAAAUGCGCAGAUAUUAGGAGGAAUACCGGUGGCGAAGGCGACUUUCUGGCCAUAACCUGACGCUGAGGUACGAAAGCGUGGGUAGCAAACAG
rnacentral:rRNA from 1 species